GAUGAACGCUGGCGGCGUGCCUAAUACAUGCAAGUCGAGCGAACAGACGAGGAGCUUGCUCCUCUGACGUUAGCGGCGGACGGGUGAGUAACACGUGGAUAACCUACCUAUAAGACUGGGAUAACUUCGGGAAUCCGGAGCUAAUACCGGAUAAUAUAUUGAACCGCAUGGUUCAAUAGUGAAAGACGGUUUUGCUGUCACUUAUAGAUGGAUCCGCGCCGCAUUAGCUAGUUGGUAAGGUAACGGCUUACCAAGGCAACGAUGCGUAGCCGACCUGAGAGGGUGAUCGGCCACACUGGAACUGAGACACGGUCCAGACUCCUACGGGAGGCAGCAGUAGGGAAUCUUCCGCAAUGGGCGAAAGCCUGACGGAGCAACGCCGCGUGAGUGAUGAAGGUCUUCGGACCGUAAAACUCUGUUAUUAGGGAAGAACAAAUGUGUAAGUAACUAUGCACGUCUUGACGGUACCUAAUCAGAAAGCCACGGCUAACUACGUG
rnacentral:rRNA from 1 species